rnacentral:misc_RNA from 1 species
GUAAGCGCUCCAAGAUGGCGGACAAGAAUCCUCAUGUCAAAAUUGGACAUUAUAUUUUAGGCGAAACAUUGGGACAUGGCACGUUUGGAAAAGUUAAGAUUGCAACUCACCAGUUGACCAAUCACAAGGUUGCAGUGAAGAUUCUCAAUCGUCAGAAGAUUAAAAGUCUCGAUGUGGUCGGCAAGAUCCGGCGGGAGAUUCAGAAUCUCAAACUGUUCAGACAUCCUCACAUCAUUAAACUGUAUCAAGUGAUGAGCACACCUACAGAUAUCUUCAUGGUCAUGGAAUAUGUCUCAGGCGGAGAACUUUUUGAUUACAUUGUUAAACAUGGUCGGCUGAAGGAGGCUGAAGCGAGAAGGUUUUUCCAGCAGAUUUUGUCUGGUGUUGCGUACUGCCACCGCCACAUGGUCGUACACAGAGACCUGAAGCCAGAAAACCUGCUGCUCGACAGCAACAACAACGUCAAGAUUGCAGAUUUCGGUCUGUCAAAUAUGAUGUAUGAUGGUGAAUUUCUACGCACCAGUUGUGGUUCACCAAACUAUGCUGCCCCAGAAGUUAUUUCUGGAAAAUUGUACGCUGGUCCUGAAGUCGACAUUUGGAGCUGUGGAGUAAUUGUGUACGCUUUCCUCUGUGGAACACUUCCAUUUGAUGAUGAACAUGUGCCAACAUUAUUUCGAAAAAUAAAAUCUGGAAUCUUUGCCAUCCCAGACUACCUGAACAAAUCUGUGGUGAACCUGUUGUGUCACAUGUUGCAGGUUGAUCCACUGAAAAGGGCAACAAUCAAGGAUAUCAAGGAGCAUGAAUGGUUCAAAAUUGAUUUGCAAGACUAUUUGUUUCCAUCAACAAGUGACCAAGAUGCUUCCAUUGUUGAUCUCAAUGUCAUUAAUGAAGUCUGUGAGAAAUUUAAUGUCGAAGAAGAAGAUGUGCAUCGUGCAAUUCUGAGUGGUGAUCCGAUGGAUCAACUGGCCAUUGCCUACAACCUGAUCAUAGACAACCAGAGAUUCUCAGAUGAUUCUAAGGCCGAGUUCCGUGACUUCUACUUGGCAUCCAGUCCUCCUCCAGAAUCUUUUAUGUUGACUUCAAGUCCAUUGAGAUCACACCCUGAAAAAAUGCCAGAAAUGAAAGAUGUUAGUCAUACUUUGGAUGCUGUUUCUCCUGGCAAACAAACAUCAGCUGCUCAGAAGAAAGCUAAAUGGCAUUUAGGUGUGUGUUUAUGUCCAUCUUGUCAAGUUCACUCAGAAGAAAGCUAAAUGGCAUUUAGGUAUCCGGUCUCAGAGCAAACCUCAGGACAUAAUGCAUGAAGUGUACCGAGCCAUGAAGUAUCUGGAAUAUGAAUGGAAGGUUGUGAACAGUUAUCAUGUACGGGUACGAAAAAGAAAUCCGGU